rfam:Candidatus Gottesmanbacteria bacterium RBG_16_38_7b RBG_16_scaffold_15788, whole genome shotgun sequence.
GGAGAGGUGCAGGGAAUGGUUAUCCGGACAGUCUCGAAAACUGUUUCCCGAUUAAAUCGGGAUUGUGGGUUCGAGUCCCACCCUCUCCG